rnacentral:rRNA from 1 species
AUUGAACGCUGGCGGCAGGCCUAACACAUGCAAGUCGAGCGAGCGGCGGACGGGUGAGUAAUGUCUGGGAAACUGCCUGAGGGAGGGGGAUAACUACGGGAAACGGUAGCUAAUACCGCAUACCAUCAGAUGUGCCUAGAUGGGAUUAGCUAGUAGGUGGGGUAACGGCUCACCUAGGCGACGAACCGUAGCUGGUCUGAGAGGAUGACCAGCCACACUGGAACUUAGACACGGUCCAGACUCCUACGGUAGGCAGCAGUGGGGAAUAUUGCACAAUGGGCGCAAGCCUGAUGCAGCCAUGCCGCGUGUGUGAAGAAGGCCUUCGGGUUGUAAAGCACUUUCAGCGGGGAGGCGUUACCCGCAGAAUAAGCACCGGCUAACUCCGUGCCAGCAGCCGCGGUCAUUC